AUACGAAGGGUGCAAGCGUUAAUCGGAAUUACUGGGCGUAAAGCGCGCGUAGGCGGUUUGUUAAGUCAGAUGUGAAAGCCCCAGGCUCAACCUGGGAACUGCAUUUGAAACUGGCAGGCUAGAGUGUGGUAGAGGGAAGUGGAAUUUCAGGUGUAGCGGUGAAAUGCGUAGAUAUCUGAAGGAACAUCAGUGGCGAAGGCGACUUCCUGGACCAACACUGACGCUGAGGUGCGAAAGCGUGGGUAGCAAACAGGAUUAGAAACCCUUGUGUCC
rnacentral:rRNA from 1 species